AUCCAGCCGAGUCACAAAUAGGACGAAACACGCGUCCUGGAU
rnacentral:hammerhead_ribozyme from 1 species